CCUACGGGGGGCUGCAGUGGGGAAUAUUGGACAAUGGGGGCAACCCUGAUCCAGCCAAGCCGCGUGUGUGAAGAAGGCCCUCGGGUUGUAAAGCACUUUCAGUGAGGAAGAACGCCUGGUGGUUAAUACCCAUCAGGAAAGACAUCACUCACAGAAGAAGCACCGGCUAACUCCGUGCCAGCAGCCGCGGUAAUACGGAGGGUGCGAGCGUUAAUCGGAAUUACUGGGCGUAAAGCGCGCGUAGGUGGCUUGAUAAGCCGGUUGUGAAAGCCCCGGGCUCAACCUGGGAACGGCAUCCGGAACUGUCAAGCUAGAGUGCAGGAGAGGAAGGUAGAAUUCCCGGUGUAGCGGUGAAAUGCGUAGAGAUCGGGAGGAAUACCAGUGGCGAAGGCGGCCUUCUGGACUGACACUGACACUGAGGUGCGAAAGCGUGGGUAGCAAACAGGAUUAGAUACCCUGGUAGUC
rnacentral:rRNA from 1 species